UACGGGGGGGGCAAGCGUUGUUCGGAAUUACUGGGCGUAAAGGGCUCGUAGGCGGCCAACUAAGUCGGAUGUGAAAUCCCCAGGCUCAACUUGGGAACUGCAUCCGAUACUGGAUGGCUUGAAUUCGGGAGAGGGAUGCAGAAUUCCAGGUGUAGCGGUGAAAUGCGUAGAUAUCUGGAGGAACACCGAUGGCGAAGGCAGGUCUCUGGGCAUUAACUGACGCUGAGGAGCGAAAGCGUGGGGAGCAAACAGG
rnacentral:rRNA from 1 species